GGAUCUUUCUCGACAAAUUUCUUAUACAAUAUUACUUAUUUUUUUUUUGUUUAUUUCUGACAAUAAAAUAGUAUUAAAGAAUUAUUUUGUAUAUUCUAUUUAUUGCAUAUCAUAACAAAUAUCCUUAUAACCGAGUAACAUGAUGAUAGCAUAAUGCCGAAACCAGCAUUACAGUAUAUACCUAUUUUGUUUAUAGCCGAAACUAAGUAGUUACGUAACAAUACACUUUCACACUUUUAAGUCCAAGUUUAAAACUGAUAAAAGCAAAUAUUAAUUAUCACGGUGUAUACUCAAAUACCUGUUU